ACAAAGAUUGGAGAAGCUGCUAGGACACUUCAUAUAAACUAAAGAUUCAAGUUUUCAUGUUCGGUAACAGUACACCAGUUGGGCAAUUUGGAUCAUGUUAUGCUCAGUGAAUUUUGUCUAUGCGCAGGUUAAAGACUCUCAAAUUGAUUUUAAACUUCUACCCAAACUUCGAAUUAUUUCAUUAUUGGAUGUUUUCAUCUGCAUAAAUCGAAGCAAGGGGGAGAUGAAGGAGGUU